GAUGAACGCUAGCUACAGGCUUAACACAUGCAAGUCGAGGGGAAACGAUAUUGGAAGCUUGCUUCCGAUAGGCGUCGACCAGCGCACGGGUGAGUAACGCGUAUCCAACCUGCCCACCACUUGGGGAUAACCUUGCGAAAGUAAGACUAAUACCCAAUGAUAUCUCUAGAGGACAUCUGAAGGAGAUUAAAGAUUCAUCGGUGAUGGAUGGGGAUGCGUCUGAUUAGCUUGUUGGCGGGGUAACGGCCCACCAAGGCGACGAUCAGUAGGGGUUCUGAGAGGAAGGUCCCCCACAUUGGAACUGAGACACGGUCCAAACUCCUACGGGAGGCAGCAGUGAGGAAUAUUGGUCAAUGGGCGAGAGCCUGAACCAGCCAAGUAGCGUGCAGGAUGACGGCCCUAUGGGUUGUAAACUGCUUUUAUAAGGGAAUAAAGUGAGUCUCGUGAGACUUUUUGCAUGUACCUUAUGAAUAAGGACCGGCUAAUUCCGUGCCAGCCGCCGCCGUAA
rnacentral:rRNA from 1 species